rnacentral:rRNA from 1 species
AGGGUUCGAUUCUGGCUCAGGAUGAACGCUGGCGGCGUGCUUAACACAUGCAAGUCGAACGGGAUCCAUCAGGCUUUGCUUGGUGGUGAGAGUGGCGAACGGGUGAGUAAUGCGUGACCGACCUGCCCCAUACACCGGAAUAGCUCCUGGAAACGGGUGGUAAUGCCGGAUGCUCCGACUCCUCGCAUGGGGUGUCGGGAAAGAUUAUAUCGGUAUGGGAUGGGGUCGCGUCCUAUCAGGUAGUCGGCGGGGUAACGGCCCACCGAGCCUACGACGGGUAGCCGGCCUGAGAGGGCGACCGGCCACAUUGGGACUGAGAUACGGCCCAGACUCCUACGGGAGGCAGCAGUGGGGAAUAUUGCACAAUGGGCGCAAGCCUGAUGCAGCGACGCCGCGUGCGGGAUGACGGCCUUCGGGUUGUAAACCGCUUUUGAUCGGGAGCAAGCCUUCGGGUGAGUGUACCUUUCGAAUAAGCACCGGCUAACUACGUGCCAGCAGCCGCGGUAAUACGUAGGGUGCAAGCGUUAUCCGGAAUUAUUGGGCGUAAAGGGCUCGUAGGCGGUUCGUCGCGUCCGGUGUGAAAGUCCAUCGCUUAACGGUGGAUCUGCGCCGGGUACGGGCGGGCUGGAGUGCGGUAGGGGAGACUGGAAUUCCCGGUGUAACGGUGGAAUGUGUAGAUAUCGGGAAGAACACCAAUGGCGAAGGCAGGUCUCUGGGCCGUUACUGACGCUGAGGAGCGAAAGCGUGGGGAGCGAACAGGAUUAGAUACCCUGGUAGUCCACGCCGUAAACGGUGGAUGCUGGAUGUGGGGCCCGUUCCACGGGUUCCGUGUCGGAGCUAACGCGUUAAGCAUCCCGCCUGGGGAGUACGGCCGCAAGGCUAAAACUCAAAGAAAUUGACGGGGGCCCGCACAAGCGGCGGAGCAUGCGGAUUAAUUCGAUGCAACGCGAAGAACCUUACCUGGGCUUGACAUGUUCCCGACCGCUCCAGAGAUGGGGCUUCCCUUCGGGGCGGGUUCACAGGUGGUGCAUGGUCGUCGUCAGCUCGUGUCGUGAGAUGUUGGGUUAAGUCCCGCAACGAGCGCAACCCUCGCCCUGUGUUGCCAGCACGUCAUGGUGGGAACUCACGGGGGACCGCCGGGGUCAACUCGGAGGAAGGUGGGGAUGACGUCAGAUCAUCAUGCCCCUUACGUCCAGGGCUUCACGCAUGCUACAAUGGCCGGUACAACGGGAUGCGACACGGCGACGUGGAGCGGAUCCCUGAAAACCGGUCUCAGUUCGGAUUGGAGUCUGCAACCCGACUCCAUGAAGGCGGAGUCGCUAGUAAUCGCGGAUCAGCAACGCCGCGGUGAAUGCGUUCCCGGGCCUUGUACACACCGCCCGUCAAGUCAUGAAAGUGGGCAGCACCCGAAGCCGGUGGCCUAACCCCUUGUGGGAUGGAGCCGUCUAAGGUGAGGCUCGUGAUUGGGACUAAGUCGUAACAAGGUAGCCGUACCGGAAGGUGCGGCUG